AUCAAUUAGGCCGAAGACUGUUUAUACGCGUUAGGCAGCGAUUCUCUUUAAACUAUUCUUUAUGCUGUAGAAAAUGAACAUGUUUUGAAUGCUCACCUUCUUGCGGUGCAGGUGCUUAAAACAGACCCCCUCCCCACACCCCCAAUCCCUAACAAAAAAGAAGGGGACGGAGAGGGGGGGGAGAGAGAGAGAGAGAAAUAGAGAGAGGGAAGGGAGAGAGAGAGAGAGAGAGAGAGCGGAGGAAGAAGAUGAAGAAAAAGAAGAAGAAGAAGAACACGAACAAGAAAUCAGGGGGAUGUCUCUGGAACUGCCUCGCAUUUUCCCCUUCCCCUUACCUCUGCUGCAUUUUGCAUCAGCUAUCUAGGUCAUUAGCAUUUUAGCGUAUGCAAGACUUGACAAAGCUGAUGAGAAGCCAGAUGGGCCCGCUCCUAUUUUUUGCACCGCUUGGGAGUUGAGCAAAAGGACUGACUGCAGUAAGCCAGGAUUUUUUUUUAAAACCAUCACCAAGGCCCGUCACUGCACCACCACCAGAACUGCGCCCGCAGAAACUCCAAAGGAAAUUAAGCAGGCAGGAUGUGCGAGGGCUCUCCACAGACAAUAGAUUUCGGGACGGAUUUUUAUGCCACAUUUGCAAAACAAUCAUAUGGCUGAGGAACACCAAGCGGAGGAGGUAGACAUUUUUGGUGCAAGAUCGCGUGAAAAGAAAGCUGCAGCCCCAGUAUCUUCAGCAAUGCGGCUGCACGCUAGAUAGCUGCUGCUGUUGCUGCUGCUGCAGCAGAUGAGGAGGAUGAUUUCAGGGUUUUUAUUGGAAAAAUGAUUCUGCAUCCGACGAAAAACGAAGCGGCCUGUCUCUCUUCGUGUUCACAGCGGACCUUGAUUUAAAUGUCCAUACAAUUAAGGCACGCGGUGAAUGCCAAGAGAGCGGCCAAAGAGCAUCCCAGAGCAAAAAAGGGUACGUGUUGAUCGAGCACAGGGAUUGCAUUUAUUGUCUAGUCAUGAAAAAAUACACGAGUAUUAAAUGUACCUGAUCUGGAUAUAGUUGGUAAUGGGGAUCAUAGCUGCGUGAUGUGCAAACACAUUCUCAAUUAUUCAUAAUGGUUGUAAAGUAAUGCAUAUUUAUUUAUGCAUGUGCGUACAAGCCAUGGGUUGUGCAUAUGUCUGUGUGUGUAUGCGUGUAAAUAUUUGAGUGAAGUGGUAUGGAAUCGCAACUUUACCAUCCAGUGUAUUGAUUAUGUUGCCGUAUAUACUGUGAACAUAUGUUAUGUUCUAUAUAUGUUCUGUUUUCCCAUACAUGUUGUCUGAGGUCAUGUCAUCAGUAUAAGUCAAAUUAAGAAAGCUCAGUAUAUGACAAAUACAAUUGUUCUGUCUCUAGUACACAUACUAGGUGCAUUAACUGAAGAAACUAUUCGUCAUAAAUAAUGUUUCUGGUAAGUUGUAGACAAAUUAUGUUAAAAUGAAAUAGAAUAAAAUAGACAUCAGUUAUUGCCAGUGCAUCCGGGAAUUCAGCUAUAUAUUAAAAAAAUAUUUAUGCUUUAAUAGUCUUACGUAAUAUUUUAAAAGUAUGUAUUAGAUUGCCAUACAGAAAAAAAUAAUAUGUUGGAGCUUUGGAUGAGUGUUAGGAUGGAUGAGUGUUGGUACUGGGAAAGGGGGUGGGGAAGGGGGUGGGGGUCUGAUAUUUCUGAUUUCCUGGUUCGAGUCCGUGGAGUCUAAAGUGACCAAAAAAUAUGAGGACUAUGCCAAGUGUUUUUUAAGAAAAAAAAAUCCGACGUGUAUAUAUAAAGAGGUAAAUUAAUGUUUAUGGUUUUGGUUAGUUAUAGAAAAUUAAUUAAUGUGAUAUAAUUAAGACGGAAUGUUUUAUUAGCAUUUGUAACAAUUUUACAUUGUUAAAGCUAAAGCAGAACUUCAGGUACACACAUAUUUUACAAAAGAUGUAAGCGGAUAAAGAAAAGGGAAGGGCUGGACCUUUGUGAAAACUAACCUUAAAAUUUCUAAAGUCGCGUAUGGUGAAGGUAAUGACCACGACAUUGCACGCAAGCACCACUCCCAUCCCCCAAAAGCCAGAUCUUUGUCAGUGAUUGAUGCGUGAUUAUAUUUUUAUAUUACAGACCGCAUUUAAAUCACUAGACAAUACCCCCCAUCCCACCCCCAAAGCCGAGAUUUUAAUUGGAUGUAAAUAGCAUCAGCUUUUGCGACAGAAUGAAACCUUAGGGGAAGCGCAUUUCUGUGUUAAUUGUCAGCAUUAUUGAUGAAUACGGUGCACUCGAUACGUUAGUUGCGUACAAUGAGAAAGGUGAUUUUCAAACGUUUGGUAGGAGUUCAUGUAGCGUCCGCGAGCCGAGCCUCCUCCUCCUCCUCCUCUUCCUCCUCCUCCUCCAUCUAUAAGGGCGUGCACUCCACUCCGGUGCUAAGAAUUUCGUUCAGAGGCUUCCCGUUACACGUGAAGAGUCAAAUAAGCCAUCUCGUGCAGGGGCCUACCGGCAGUGACCGUCUCUGUGAAGAACACGCCUGUUGUUCGCCCCGCAACACCUUAAUGUACGCACUCGGCUUGACCUGCAGACCCUCUGUAAUGGCCAGUCAGUUUAGCAUCUCUUAUUAUGGCGCACUCGGGCCUUAGCCGUCUCAAGGACAACGCUUUGAAGUUCGUUCGUCUCAGUUCAAAGGAUGGGAAUGAACACGCUGUUUGUACGGGUUAAGAAUUUUAUUUAAAGCGGGGAUUUUUUUUUAAUAUCCCAUCGGGUUGAAAUGAGAAAAUAACAAAAAACGAUUUCUCCGUUAAAGUCUUUAGCCUUCAGGAAAUCAGCCUAAUUAUUUAUUUUCAAAAAUAUCCAAUACAUUCUCACUUUAAUGGUCAAUCAUUCUUUUAUGUAACAAUAAUAUUUCAGUGACAGAAAUAAAUAUUACACAUUUAAACAAUACAUGUUAACAGCAUUGUUGUUUUUCUUCUCAAUUUCAAUAAGUGCUCAAUACUCGAGCUAUUAUUAUUUACUGCAGCACAGUGUCACUUGCAAACACACCGAAUAACAUUUAUUUUGCAACUGCAAUAUCACAGAUCUUAAUUUCCACAUACAAUUUAUAAGCGGUAGGCUUGUGUAGUCUACAGUACAUUAAAAUACCACUUGCACCUUAAAAGUCCGACAUUUGUAUGGCUGUUAGACUAACUCAUCUGGGUAGUUAAUACUGCGAUAUAAUCAAACAACGUAACCGUCUUCGAACCAAUUAAAAAGACAUAAAAAGUAUUUAAAAAGCACAGAUAAACGAAAAACGAAGUAAAAAUGUUAAAAGGUCGUGACAUUUAUUUACGAGUUAACUGUGACAGGCAGACAGAGACCUUAAAGUGUUAGUGACAUAGCAGGAUUGAGAUUAUAUAUAAUUUGGGCACCGAUUAGUUUGCACAAACACCGCGGAGGUCACUUAGGAACAAAUAUUACAGCAAAACGUGUUCGUUAUUUUAAAAGAGAGUUGACCGUGUAAUUAAGAGAUAAUUAUUAGCUUUGGCUACAUGAAAUAAAAAUGGUGCUUUUGAAUGAUUCACAAUAAAAACGUGUAAAUUGAACACCGCUACUAAAAUUUAAUGAACCUGUGUGCCGUGUUCAAAGUGAGAAAGUCUCCAUUUAGCUUGUUUGUAUUCAGUCUUCUCAAAGCACUGCAUAUUAAAACAAAUCACCAUAAAGCAGUGGUGCAUAUUUCAAAUGGAGUCCUGCACCUUAAAUAGAGCAGCUUUUCACUUUCUUAAUUUCAGUUUAUAUAAUGGCAUUUCAGGUUAUAAUGAUAGAACACCAACUAGUGCAUGCUUUGGUCCAUGCGCAACAUAAAUUAAGAAACAUUUGUAUUGUUAGAAUGAAAUGACACCAUUAGUAGUAUGAAAAAAGCGAAUUUGUACUGCGGUAACACAUUCAAAAUGAUAAACAUGUCUGUAUGUUAAAACAGUUCUAUUACAAUGAACACGUACUACCUGUGAAUGUUACGAAAUGUGAUUACAUUAUUUAUUAAAAAUCGAAUCUUUCUUCAAAAACACUGAAACAAAUUCGCGUCUCGCUUGUGUCACAAGCAUCUAUCUAUCUAUCUAUCUAUCUAUCUAUCUAUCUAUCUAUCUAUCUAUCUAUCUAUCUAUCUAUCUAUCUAUCUAGCAUCGAUUUUUUUUUCAAAAUGCUGUGUACAGUUUUCUUUUAUUGUCUUUGUUUAAAAUUUUAAAACUAUCAUAUAUAAAGUCAUUAUUAUGUUUAUGUCUGUCUGACUGUUUUGUCACGCGACGUUUGCCCCGUAGAAAAGAGGAUAUUGAAAAAGGUUUAGUGUCACAUCAAAAUUGCAUAUGUGACAUUAACAAAAAAGAAUUCUACAGUUAGAGCAACUAAUUUAUUACACAAAACCAAAAAAUGCACUCUUGCCCUAUUUAUAAUUCCGUAAAAAAAACUUGUCGACGUUUAAUAUAUUAAUUACUUGUUCUUCCUAGCUGAGAUGUAACGCUUAAACGUCACGAGUUAAAAUGUAAUGAUAGCGGCAUCAGGAUAAGCAGGUCCGAAAAAGGACGGGAUGCGUGACAGAGUAGCAAACAGAGCAAAUCUAUAGGGCACAGAGCACUGACUGCUAAUUCAUUUGCUCAUUGAUUGGGAUUUGCGAUUCUACUUAUGCGGUGUUUUUGAUUAUAUGCCUUUAAACCUUUCUUUCUUGUUUAAUAAGUACAGUGUGUUAAAAUCGAACGAAGCCCACUCAUGUUGUACGGCGAGACGAGACCUUCAGUAGGAUACCACGACGGAGCAGUGGGCUACGUCACUCACGUUCGCAGUAUCGGUAUGUGCGCGCAUACACAGACCAGGAGCUUCUCUUACCAGUAAUGAGGAGGAAUGCUCGGCCAUACACAAGCACAGCAGAAACAAAAAGCGUAUAAUUUAACCGUCAUUACAUAUAUAAAAGGCCACAUCAAAUUGAAAAUCAUUUUGGCAACAUUUUAAGAAUCUUAAUUUAAUUCGGAUAGUACGAUUUUUUUAAACAAGCCUUGUAAAUUGCGUUAUAAUUCGAAAAGGUGCAAGUGUCCGACAAGAAGCUAACGUGCCUCGGUUUACCGUAAUGCAGAAUCCGCGGAGCUAAACUUCACGUCCAACAGAGCGAGUGCAGAUGAACAGGAACGAGGGGUACAGAAGCUCCAGUACACACUAACCCGUGUAACGUGACACACUCGGCACGGACGUAUUCGCCAUUUAAAACAUUUCUUAUGUAACCUGGUUCUUUAUUUACAUCCGCCUAUCAAUUUUCUUAGCUAUACAGUAACUGUAAUUAUUUUGACAUUGAUUUCAUGUUAAACUCCGUAGUUCCAGAUAUACCGUAAAUGUGCGCCAUGGGUGCUCAGUUUAGUUUUUUUGUUAUAAAUCUAAUUUGUUCUAAAUUUACUUUUUUAUUCUGAUCAAAUAAUUUACACCUUUUAUCUAACUUAACCCACAAUCACUAUAACAGCGCAAACUUCAUUGUGUUAAGAACUUUUAAAAACACCAAAUUCUUUGCACUUAGAGUGUCGUUUUUGUUUGUUACAAGUAAACACGGAAAUCAAACCAUUAGUCUGAAAAAUUAUUAAAAUCAGGAUGCAUAAAUUAUUCAUUUUUAAUGUAAUUGAUUUACAAUGCCAUUAGCUGCAUUAUCUUUUUGUGAAAUAAAACCAUUUGAAAAAUACGAAUGAGGAAUUCACAAACAUCUGUUUCAUCACAGUAAUGAAUAAUGAAGUUUACCCUUUUGCUGGAAUUCCAGAUCUGUAUAUUGAGGAUGUAAUUCUUAUUCUGUUAGUAUGACAUCUUUUUAUUUACACAAACACUUUAGUAAUGCAUUCAUAUUUUAUUCCUGUAGGUUGAAAAAAAAAAAUCAUCCCAUACAUUUUUCAACGUAAGCCCCUACAAAUUCAACAUAAUUAUUCAGUUUCUGUCAGAUAGACUUAACAUUUCUUCAAAUGCUCUUUUAUUUCACAUCAACGUUCAAAUUUAAAACUGCAUCGUUUUGUCAUUUUGCAUCACCCCUUGGCUGUUUG